UUACAUAUAGGUAAAGUCUGAUAUAUAAAAACAUUUGGCUUAUGUUGUUGUUGACAUCAAAAGUUGUGUCUAAUCAAACAUUAAUACAUUUCAUUUUUCAAUUUAUUUUACUUUUCAACAAUAACAAAUUCUAGUGCUGUGUUGGGGCAAUGAUGUAAAAUCUAAAUCCUGAAGCAUAACCAGCACAGGAGCACGGCUUAAAUCUCAGCAGAUGCUUGCGUAACCUCAAGUGGGGUUCUUUCUCCCCGCAUGUACUGUUUAAAGUUGUAUUAAACAAUACAGACAACCUCCUGCAGACAAUGCAUGUUUCUUCCUGUCUGAUGAUAAUUUACCCCAAAAUACUUUCAGUUUUCUUGCAUACACAUUUAUAAUGCCUGGCAUUUCACAACAAAUUCCCAAUGCAAGACCAUUUCCAUCCACCGCACUGUUUACGCUUUAUGCAUUAUGGAUGCUUGGACUUAGUUGUGCAUGAAACCCUCAGGGAUCUCUUUUUACCCACAGUGCUUUUCACCUAUGCUCUUUGUAUAUGUGAAGACAUGAAAGGGUGGUUUCUUUUCCGAAGUCUAUGGCAAGCAAGAGGCGCAUUUCCAACUCUGCAUGUGCGGAUCAAAAGCAGUCAGAAUGGAAGCUCCAGCAUGCCAUCCGCUUCCAACUGGGUCAAGGACAGAUUACGAGGUUCCUUGAGGAAAAGCUCUCCACCCGCACAGCACAGAAUGAGACGUUUUUAUCUACAUACACCACUGGUCUCCUUACAUGGAAGUCGUCAUCAUGUUUCUACAGUAGCUCUAAAUGGACAAAUUGUUCUACAGAGCGCGUUUCGUCCCUCUGUGGUGGAUACCGUAGCUUCUCAUUGCAUU